rnacentral:rRNA from 1 species
AGCGAACGCUGGCGGCAGGCCUAACACAUGCAAGUCGAACGAACCCUUCGGGGUUAGUGGCGGACGGGUAAGUAACACGUGGGAACGUGCCUUUAGGUUCGGAAUAACUCUGGGAAACUUGUGCUAAUACCGAAUGUGCCCUUCGGGGGAAAGAUUUAUCGCCUUUAGAGCGGCCCGCGUCUGAUUAGCUAGUUGGUGAGGUAAUGGCUCACCAAGGCUACGAUCAGUAGCUGGUCUGAGAGGAUGACCAGCCACAUUGGGACUGAGACACGGCCCAAACUCCUACGGGAGGCAGCAGUGGGGAAUCUUGCGCAAUGGGCGAAAGCCUGACGCAGCCAUGCCGCGUGGAUGAUGAAGGUCUUAGGAUUGUAAAAUCCUUUCACCGGUGAAGAUAAUGACUGUAGCCGGAGAAGAAGCCCCGGCUAACUUCGUGCCAGCAGCCGCCGUAAAAC